UUGUUUGUAGUCCCGUUAUUCUUUCUUAUUCUAUUUGUUGUGAUUCCAUUAAAUUUUUAGACAAGGCUUUCGUUUUCUGUCUAUUAAUUUUCAGUCCUGCUAUUUCCCCAUAUCUUUCUAAUUCGCUAAUUAGCUCCUUUCCUGUUUCUAUUGGGUCUUCAAUAAAGAAGACCAUAUCAUCUGCAAAAGCUUGUAAUUUGUAUUCUUCUUUCCUGACUUUUAGUCUUUUUAUUUCUGGAUUUUGCCUAAUUUGUCUAAGUAGAGUCUCAAAUGAUAAUAUAAAAAGCAGAGGAGAGAGUGGGCAACCUUGUCUAACUCCUUUUCUUAUUUCUAAGCUCUGGGUAAUUUCACCAUUCACUAUAACAUUUGCCUUCUGAUUGGAGUAUAUUGUUGUUAUCAUGUGCUCAAAUUUAGUUCCUAAAUUCAUGUUAUAAAUUUGCUGUAUCAUGAAUUGCCUGUUCAAAUUGUUCAAUGCUUUCUGAGCAUCCAGAAAGACAAGUGAUAUUUGUUUCUCUGGGUGGGCAUCAUAAUAUUCUAAAAUAUCUAUUACUGUCCUCAAAUCCUAAUUUGUCUGCCUGGCAGAAAUCCAUUUUUGUCUGAGUGAAUGUAUUCAUUCAGAAGUCUCUUCAGUCUAUUCGCUAUGAUGGUUGUAAAUAUUUUAUAGUCGAUGUUUAAUAAUGAUAUUGGUCUAUAAUUUUGGAUUUGUCUUGUGUCCGUGCCCUCCUUCGGAAUUAGCGAAAUAAGUGCAUCCCUCCAUGUAUCUGGCAUCUUAGCAUCUAUCAUAUCAUCAUUUUAAAGGUCUAGCAU